rnacentral:tRNA from 1 species
AGCUUUAUAGUCAAUAGAAUGAUAUAAAAUUGCAAAUUUUAAGUUGAAAUAUUAAAUCUCUAAGGCUU